AACAACCAGGUAUGUCUGACACUGUAAAAGGGGCUGCUUGCCCCCUCCUCGCUCUCUUACUCUUGCUCCUGCUCUUGCUUUCUCUUGCUCUUCCCCUAUUUGUCCCUUCUCUCCCCAUUCCCCUUCCCCCUUCCCUCCAUGUGCUCAUGGCUGGCUUCUACUCCUCUCCUCUUCUACUCUUCUUCUCUCUCUCAUCCCUCUCCCUUGUCUUCUCCUCUCAUUAAACCUUUCUGUGUGGAACCGUGUUGGCCUGGUGUGGUUUGUCUGGAUGCAAGCCAAGAUUUCUACCCCAACAUAAAAGAUAAAAACAUCCAACCCCUUCUGAUUGGUUUUAAGACUUACAGCAAGAGAUGUAGCCUAUAUCUGAUACUCCUAAAAUGGCCAAGAACUGGAGACUAGAUAGACCAUGGGACUAGGAAAACCCCGCCAAAAGAGCAAGCAACACAAUGACUUCUCAUGAUAUUCUGCUAUAUCCAUUGGACAGUACCUCGCUCAACCAUCGCCAGAGAAGCUUUCUGCAGUAGAUGGGGACCCAGACCCACAACCAGACAGCGUCCAGAGGGUGAGAGACUUUGGAAGUCUCAGUCCUAAAUAGGAUGUCUUCAUCAAACCCCUCCCUUCAGUUCUUAGGGAAUCCAUGCAGAAGAGGAGACAGAAAGAGUGUGAGAGCCGGAUGCCUGAAAGGAACGUGUCUUCCAAACACAAGACUGGGAUAUGAACUCACAGAGACGGUGGCAGCUUUCUCAAGGCUUGCACAGGUUCGAGCCAGAUUCCCAGCCCCAAGAGAAAGCCAAGUGAACACAGGCUCCCACCUCUAACCACGAAGCUAUUUGCAACUGAUACCUGCUAGCAGAGAAAAAACUUAGUUUUCUCCAAUGGGGUGUCAGCAGGAGUAUUAAUUACACUUCAGGCUUCCGAAGGGGGGUAAAUAAGUUCAAAGGGCCAUCUGCCCCUGACCAGACCCCAGAGAAUCCCAAGUUUCAGCCUGCAGAGUGGGUGGACAGGAGAGCGAACUCAAGCCCAAUUCAUUUCCACUGAAGAGAAGCGCCGCUUGCUCCUUGGAGAUCUUCCUUACUGCAAGUCUCUGAGUGAACUGCCUUCCACGUAGAGGAACACAGGAGUGAAGAGGUAGCCAAUCCAGUUGGAAAGCAGAAAGCAGCGCCACCCGGGUGGCUUUUGGGUUGAACCGGAAUUUCCGGAAGCUUAGCCCUUUGUCCAGUCUGCUUGCUCUGUGCGCAUGCGUCCCACAGACAGCUCUCCUCUUACCAUUCUCUUUGCAGACAGAAAUCCAGCCGUGCUUUUGUGCCAUGAUCUGACACCUAGAUGCAUAUUCCUUGUGUGGUUUACCCUCCCGUGAUGUCUAGUACUGACUUCCAGCUUGACAAGAUCUAGAAUCACUAUGAAGACAAACCUCUGGUCGUACCAGUGAGGAGCUGCUUAGAUUUGGAAGCGGGAAGACCCAUUCUAAACCAGUGAUGCCAUUCCAUGGGGUGGCGGACUGGGUUGCAUCAGCAAGAGCAAGCGAUCCAAGCAUUAGCAUUCAAGGCUCUCUGCUUCUUGACUAUGGGUGUGUUGUGGCCAGUGCCCACAUGCUCCUGCUGCUACAGUGUCCUCUCCAUGCUGGCUUGGACUCUCUGUGUGAGCCAAAGUAAACCAUCCUCUUUAAGCUG